rnacentral:rRNA from 1 species
AUUAUCGUACAACCGAGGUGCAAGGGCUGUCGCUGACCUUCAAAGGUUGUGCACGCCCGAGUGCUCUCGCACAAUAUCCAUCUCACACCCCUUUGUGCAUCACCGCGAGGGUCCCAGUGGCUGUAAUGGCCCCAAGGUGGGAAUGCGAGGCGAUGUCUUCCCCAACGGAGUCCCGUGCUUGUGCGCCGAGUUCAAGACUGUCCCCUCCGGAAAACUUUGGUGUCCAUUGUCCCCCACAGCGUAGGCUGUGGUCGGAUUUGGAGUAAUCGGCCCUUGUCUAGCCAGGGAAGCAAUUCCGCAGCUAGCAGGGCUCACCGAGUUGGUCUUAGGAGAUCAGGGCACGUCAUCUGUCGCGCGGGUGCGCCGUGUCCCUCGUAGACCUUUAUACCUCGCGUUUUCACACAAACCUCUGAUACAGUGUAGAAUGUUAUAUUACCCUUUGCGGUCACACGCAAUCAAUACAACUUUCAACAACGGAUCUCUUGGCUCUCGCAUCGAUGAAGAACGCAGCGAAAUGCGAUAUGUAAUGUGAAUUGCAGAAUUCAGUGAAUCAUCGAAUCUUUGAACGCACCUUGCGCCCCUUGGCAUUCCGAGGGGCACACCCGUUUGAGUGUCGUGAAAUCAUCAAAACCCUUUUCUCUUUGAUCCCAAAUUUAUUUUGGUCGGGAAAAGGAUUUUGGACUUGGAGGUUCCAUGCUUGCUUUCUUUUGAAGGCGAGCUCCUCUCAAAUGAAUCAGUGGGGUCCGCUUUGCCGAUCCUUGACGUGAUAAGAUGCUUCUACGUUUUGGAUUUGGCAACUGUCCCUUGGAUUCCUGCUCCUAACGGUCCCAUGGACAAUGAUGGGUGCCUCCGGUCAACCGCCGCCUACGUUGGCGGGGGGGAGGCUGGACCCACAAAAAGAAAACCUUGACCUCAAAUCGGGUGAGACUACCCGCUGAACUUAAGCAUAUCAAUAAGCGGAGGAAAAGAAACUAACAAGGAUUCCCCUAGUAACUGCGAGUGAAGCGGGAAAAGCUCAAAUUUAAAAUCUGGUGGUC